GCGCUGAUAGUCUAGUCUGGUUAGGACCCCAGCCUUCCAAGCUGGUUACCUGGGUUCAAAUCCCGGUCGGCGCA
rnacentral:tRNA from 1 species